UUUCUUCUCUUUGCGCGGCGACACAGAAAACACUCUCUUCCGGUUCAAAUAUUUUCAGAUAAGAAAACCAAAAGAGAGAGAGAGAUCAGAUAGAUAAAAAGAGAGACGAGAGAUAAAUAUAAAGAAAGAAGAAAAAUUCCCGCUCUCUUGCUCUCUCUCUCUCUGUUGCUUCCUCCAUAGGGUUUCCUCUUUCCCACUUUCUCUGUUUUUCUCAUCUUCUUCAUGCCAUUUCCCCAUUUCCCCAGCAUUUCUCUCUAAUUUCUCUAAAUUCGUUUCCGCACUCCAUUCCAACUUCUCCGCCUUCUCACCGGUUUCAUCCGCCUGGAUGAUUGUGCGGUGUAGAACUAGAACCUCUUCCUUCCCGUACAUAAUACAUUUGUUUAGUCUCAAUGGUAUUCUCUGUUGGAAAUGGGAGAAUGGCUGUGAUGACAAGGCUUAUGGCUGCUGGGAGUUUCUCUCGAACUAUUGCAGGUAAAUCUAGAGAGGAGGUUGGUCAGCAGAAAUUUGCUUCUGAAUUUAUCUGCAGAGAACUUCGUGAUGCAGAUGAAGCAAAUUUAAUUGAUGAAGAAGAUAUGCACGUUUUUGGUUUGAAGCCUAUGGUUGAUCCACUGAACUUGGUUUGCUGCAAUAUUUGUAAGAAGCCAGUAAAGGCCAGCCAAUAUAUCAUUCAUUCAGAGCUUUGUAGGUCACUAGGUUUCGGACAAGGAACUAUUAUGGACCUUGAUGGUGGGAUGGGCCAUAGAAAACACUCAAGGAAGGAGAAGAAAAAGUUACUAUCGUCUGAUGCUAAUAUAUCAACUGUGGAGAAAGAAGGGUCUGAAUCAACUUGUGCUGACUUUUCUGCUGCACCAGCAUUGCCAAUUAAUAACCAAUUUGAAAUGAUCAAGUUGACAAAAAGAAAUUCAACUUGUAAUGUGGCGCCUAUACUGGAUGAUGGUACAGGAGCAUGUUCUGGUGUAGAUGCAGCUAGUUUCAUACAUCCUUCGACAAAGCGGUCCAAAUUGAUAACUGGUGAAGGGCUGUUAUUGGCAUCUGAUUUAGAACCAUCGUCAGCUAAAACAAAAAUUAGAACAGAUGUUCCGUUUCCCCUUGCAAGUAAAAUAUAUUACUCUCAAAGAAAUAAUCGUUUGCGCUCGGCUCUUGGCUAUCUCUACUGGGAGGCCGUUGCUUCUAGCAAGGAAAUUUGUAAUAUGAUGGAUCAGCAAAUGACUAAGGAAAAUAUAAAACUAUUUCACAGUACUUCCGAGGAGGAGGAGUCUCAAGAACAAACAAGUGACGUCAUUGGAAAUAAGAUGGAUAAUCAGUCAUUAACCUCUGCAUGGAAAUCUGACCAUAAUCUGGCCGUAUUCUCAUCUGGGAAAUGUCUGCCUGCUGGUGGUGCCUCAAAUAAGUUUGUUAUUGGCAGCAGUGUUGCAUGGCCACAGAUUGCUCCAGUUGAACUGACGCAAAAGAAGACUAUCUACCUGGAAGGCUAGACCUAACUCUUUCGAAGGAAAACCACUGGAGACUAGACAACAGUCAAGCGGAAAUAUUCCUGUUGUAUAGAAAGUCUUGGUGGCACUUUUUUGUAGGCACAGUGGUAAAUGUAAUUAACCCUAAAACUUGAGGAGAUAUCAAGUUCCUAGAUAAUACUUUUCUGGACGGGUAGAAAUCUGGUGCCAGACUCUUCCUCAUUCCAAUAUGAAGGAAUUAAAUCUUAAGCCCUUGGUUGGUAAUCAUUUUGUUUUUGGUUUUUGGUUUUUGAAAAUUAAGUCUACUUUUUCUAAAUGUUAGUGGAAAAACAAUUUUUUUAAGUUUCCAAAAUUUGACUUGAUUUUUUAGAUUACAAAGUAAAAAAUUUGAGUGCACAGAGUUUUUAAUAGAUUAAUUUUAAAAAACUAAGAACCAAACGGUUUUCAAACGGUGCUUAAUUUAUUUGUGCUUUUUCUUUGGAAGCUAGAUUCUAGGUUAGGAUAAAGUUUCUACGUCGAUUUAAUUUCUUAGGGUUAUUUGGGGCUCUGACCUCUGAGUUGAGUCCUAAAGUAUGAAGGUAGUAUGCUAGAAUUAGGAAAUCCAUAUUUGGGAUCCAAUGUUGUUUAGUUGGAGUUAGAGGGAGGGAGAAAGAGCGAAGGAAGUUAGAGUUUUUUUAUAAACAUGUGAACUUCAAUAGUGAGAGUUGGUGGGUCAAACAUUUUUUGUCCUAGAGCUGGAGUUGAUCUUGAUGUAAACAAAUUUUUGAGGGAGCGGACUAUGAGUAGUAUAGCAUGCCUAAUUAGAAAAAACACAGACAGAAAACCCAGUAAAAUGUUGUUCCUGUUGUGGACAUAAAAGUCUUUUAAUUUUAGUAUUCAUAAAAGUCUUUUAAUUCUAGUAUUCAUCGAACAUCAACUGGUUAAGGUAUUAUAUCAUUGGCAGUUUGAAGAUUCUAAAAUUUUCUGAUAUUUUGAGUGACCUUUCUGGAGUGAGUGGGUGGAACUUUACUUUAGUGCCGAGUCUGUUUGUAUUCAAAAUGAAGUGGAAAAUCUGAAGAGCAGGGUUUUCGCCACUAGGCAACCAGGCAGGCACACUCAUGACCAUUGAACAGCAAAAUUAGGCAUGACAUAGUGUGUUGGUGCGGUGACAGCAACCCAGACUUUCCGCACCAUUGUUAUCAUAUGGACGUUACUGGCCAACAUUUAUGGCUGAUAUUUCAAUGCUGAGCCAAAAACAAAAAAGAAAGAAGAAGAAAUAUCUACCAUCACUGGGCAUGAUUUUGAAAGCUACUUGGCUACGGCACUAUCAGUUUACUUGGCCAAAUGCUGCAAAAGGUUUGUGUUUCUGUUAUUGGAAAAAAUUUAGAUCUCUUUUGAUAUUUGAAAAUUUGAAAUUUAAGUUAAUUUAUUUAAAAUUUCAUACGAUAUUUUAGGUGUUUCUUCUGUAAAAGAGUAGUUUUUUUGUAAAACAAAAUCUAAAUGACAAAAAAAAUUUAUUUUAUUUUAUUUAUUUAUUUAUUUAUUUAUUUAUUUUUGUUUUCAAACCUUGGUUUGGUAUUUGAAAACAUCAGUUGAAGGUUGGUAAUAUAAUAAGAAAAUUAGAGGUGGAAAAUGGUGAUUGUAGGCUUAAUUUUUAACAACUAAAAGCAAAGGGUUCAAAUGCUUAUGGAGAUGAGGCAUUUGCUUUUAGUUUUAAAUUUUUAAAAUUUGUGAUUGUCUUUUACAUUUCAUACUAUGUUUUUCUUUUUCUUCUCUCUCUCUCUUUUUUUUUUUUUUUUUUUUGACUUUUUUUCGUGAAAUAGUUAAAUUAAAUUGGAGACUUUGAAAGCUACUUUUUUUAAUUAAAAAAUAUCAAUUUAAUUUUAUUUAAAUUCCGCUGAACUUUUUAAAAUAUUGGUAAAAAAUGGGUUAUAAAACAGAGAAACGUGUGCUUAUAAGUUUUUGUUUUUCAGCUUCAAAAUUUGUGCUCGUUGACACAAAUAUUCAUUUUGUUGAUCUUUACGUGUGAAUUCUUAGCCAAACUCUAAAAACGAAAACUAAAUUUUAAAGAUUACAUUUUUCUUUUAAGUUUUCACACCUAGACAUGACUUUACUAGGAAGUAGAUAGCGAAAGAAACAAACUGAAGUUUAAUUUCCAAAAACUAAAAGAUAUGCCUUAAAAUUUCAGGGAAGGAUUGAUCUUGAAGCAAAUAGGUUGUGUUUUGAAAAAUGGGAGGUUGUCUGAGAGGGGAGUCUUAAUUUUAAAUGUCAAGUGUUAUUUUGUGGUCGUGGUUUUUGUUUUCAAGUAUAGACUUUGACUUUUAGAUUUUAGGCUACAUAAUUUUGAAUCCGUGAAUCAAAUGCCUGGCUUAUACUGAGAGGGGAGUCUUAAUCCGUGAAGCAAAUAGGUUGUAUGCUACGUCCAGGUAAAUCGAGGUUAGGAUUUGGACCUAUAACUAAAUUAUAAUAGUUGUACAAAAAAUAAUAUUCAAACUUAGACUUAUGCUUCUAAGUUUGUUUUUUAUUUGGUAACUUUAAAUUUUAAUUUAAUUGGUCUAUAAACUUGUAGUUAUGCCCCCAUAGUUCAUCGGCAUUUAAAAUGUGUUUAAUACUAAUCAAGUCGUUUAAAAACUUGGUUUUGUUUUUGAAAUUUAGUUUAUAAUUUUUUUUUAAAGUAAAAUGAAAAGCUUGCCGAAAGAAACACCAAAAUUUUUGUAAAUAACAGAAUCAGAAUGGCCUAAAUAUAUGCGAUAGAGUUAUUGUUUUGUUUUUUUGUUUUUUUGUUUUCUUUUCUUACGUUUUCUCAUCGAUUAUUUAUUUUGAAAUUAUGAAUAGUUAUCUUUAACACAAAUGUGUACCAUUUUUCUUUGUUCGACUAGGUCAUCUGUAUUAUUUUCUUUUACAAAUUAAGAGUAGUUUCUUGAUUAAUUUUAAAAAUAGGGCGAUUUGGAAAAAAUAUUUGCAAGAAGCAAGUCAGCUAGAAACUAUUUGUUAAAAUAGGGUUUUUUUUUCCUUUUUUUUUUUUUUUAUUGUCUUCAUGGAUUUGAAAAACUGAAUUUGUGUAUUUCAGUCUCUCGUGAAGAAUGGAUUGCAGUAAAUGUUUCCAAUUUUGUUAAGUGGAAAUGGUAAUGAAACUGUAUGUUUUAAUUUUAUGAGUAAAAUUAAUGGCUCUAAAUGUUCUAUUUGUCCUUUUGAACUAAAAUAUCUCCAAGUUGCUGGCGCUGCCCUUCUGAAUAAUCCAUUUGACAAAUCUUUUUGACAUUUCAGUAUUCAUCAUUUUUCAUGGUCCCAAAGGCCAAAUGUGUGUGUGUGUGUGUUUUAUGAAAAAAUAAAUCAUCGUGUUUCUUAUUUGUAAUGUCAACCUUCAUGUCAAGAGAAAUAUCAAAGGUCCGUUAUGGUUGAGUGGUCAAAACGUCUAUUUAACAAGCUUACUUGACUAUACUUAUUUACUGUCAUGUUUAUCUAUGAUGAAACAUAUUCUAUCGAUAGUGAUUUUUUUUUUUUUCUCUUUUAAA